rnacentral:tRNA from 1 species
GCGCCCGUAGCUCAACGGAUAGAGCAUCAGACUUCGAAUCUGAGGGUUGGGAGUUCGAAUCUCUCCGGGCGCAC